AACGGGUGAGUAACGCGUGAGGAACCUGCCUCAAAGAGGGGGACAACAGUUGGAAACGACUGCUAAUACCGCAUAAGCCCACGGGUCGGCAUCGACCAGAGGGAAAAGGAGCAAUCCGCUUUGAGAUGGCCUCGCGUCCGAUUAGCUAGUUGGUGAGGUAACGGCCCACCAAGGCGACGAUCGGUAGCCGGACUGAGAGGUUGAACGGCCACAUUGGGACUGAGACACGGCCCAG
rnacentral:rRNA from 1 species